GUGGGGAAUCUUAGACAAUGGGGGAAACCCUGAUCUAGCCAUGCCGCGUGAGCGAUGAAGGCCUUAGGGUUGUAAAGCUCUUUCAGUGGGGAAGAUAAUGACGGUACCCACAGAAGAAGCCCCGGCUAACUCCGUGCCAGCAGCCGCGGUAAUACGGAGGGGCCUAGCGUUGUUCGGAAUUACUGGGCGUAAAGCGCACGUAGGCGGAUCGGAAAGUUGGGGGUGAAAUCCCAGGGCUCAACCCUGGAACUGCCUUCAAAACUAUCGGUCUGGAGUCCGAGAGAGGUGAGUGGAAUUCCGAGUGUAGAGGUGAAAUUCGUAGAUAUUCGGAGGAACACCAGUGGCGAAGGCGGCUCACUGGCUCGGUACUGACGCUGAGGUGCGAAAGCGUGGGGAGCAAACAGGAUUAGAAACCCCAGUAGUCC
rnacentral:rRNA from 1 species